GACAUAGGUGGCGAACGUUAUCCGGAAUUAUUGGGCGUAAAGGGCGCGUAGGCGGCUCUGCACGUCCGUUGUGAAAUCGCCCGGCUCAACUGGGCGGGGUCAGCGGAUACGGCAGAGCUUGAGCAAGCUAGGGGGCAAUGGAAUUCCCGGUGUAGUGGUGGAAUGCGUAGAUAUCGGGAGGAACACCAGUGGCGAAGGCGGUUGCCUGGGGCUUUGCUGACGCUGAUGCGCGAAAGCGUGGGGAGCGAUCCGG
rnacentral:rRNA from 1 species